rnacentral:rRNA from 1 species
UACGAAGGGGGCUAGCGUUGCUCGGAAUCACUGGGCGUAAAGGGCGCGUAGGCGGAUCUUUAAGUCGGGGGUGAAAGCCCAGGGCUCAACCCUGGAAUUGCCUUCGAUACUGGAGAUCUUGAGACCGGAAGAGGUAAGUGGAACUGCGAGUGUAGAGGUGAAAUUCGUAGAUAUUCGCAAGAACACCAGUGGCGAAGGCGGCUUACUGGUCCGGUUCUGACGCUGAGGCGCGAAAGCCAGGGGAGCAAACGGG